rnacentral:rRNA from 1 species
UACGUAGGGGGCAAGCGUUGUCCGGAAUCAUUGGGCGUAAAGCGCGUGUAGGCGGUCCGGUAAGUCCGCUGUGAAAGUCGGGGGCUCAACCCUCGGAUGCCGGUGGAUACUGUGGGGCUUGAGUACGGAAGAGGCGAGUGGAAUUCCUGGUGUAGCGGUGAAAUGCGCAGAUAUCAGGAGGAACACCAGUUGCGAAGGCAGCGCGCUGGGACGUUACUGACGCUGAGACGCGAAAGCGUGGGGAGCAAACAGG